rnacentral:rRNA from 1 species
GAUGAACGCUAGCGGCAGGCUUAACACAUGCAAGUCGAACGGCAGCGCGGGUAGCAAUACCUGGCGGCGAGUGGCAAACGGGUGCGGAACACGUACGCAACAUACCCCCAACUGGGGCAUAGCCUUCUGAAAAGGAGAUUAACACCCCAUAAGAUCACCAGGUAGGCAUCUAUUAGUGAUAAAAAUUUAUUGGUUGGGGAUUGGCGUGCGUCCUAUUAGCUAGUUGGUAAGGGAACGGCCUACCAAGGCGACGAUAGGUAGCUGGUGUGAGAGCACGACCAGCCACACGGGCACUGAGACACGGGCCCACUCCUACGGGAGGCAGCAGUGAGGAAUAUUGGUCAAUGGACGCAAGUCUGAACCAGCCAUGCCGCGU